AGUGCUGCCUAAAAGAAGAAAGUAGGUGAAAUUCAGCACAACUCAGAGCAUUGCUCCAAUGCAAAAAUUGUUCCAAAGAAAUUUAUGAAAGGAAAAUUAAUGCAUCAGCGUCCAUAUAUGGAAAUCACAGCUGUGGCACAAUAGUGUCUUUGGGACUUGGCCUGCAUAUGUCAAAGUGGAUCCUGUUUUCUGUGGUUGAGUGAAAUUGCAGUCCUGCUGGGGAGAGCAAAUUAAAUUCCAGCUUUAUAUAAAAUAUCAACCAACAUGGAGAAGACUUAAGGAAGAGCUGAACUAUUCUGAUAGUGUUGAGUUGACAGUAUCAUGGAGGACAAUCCACUCGUGUUGGGUACCAGUACAGUGAACCAGGGCCUCCAAUGCAGCCAGAUUGUGACUGAACUCAGUGCUUCAGUAGUGAUCUCCCCAAAGCCCUGCAUAAAGUACAGAGCUUCUGAAAAAGCAAAUUGAGAAAUGUAAAGUCAGUGAAAACUCUACAGAUAUCUAGAGAUUCUGCUACUGCUGAUGAUACAAGACAGCCAUGAAACAAUUGUGGCCUCACAUUCAGAAUCUAACACCUCAAGGAAUCGAAUGACUGUUUAACUAUAUUAUUUUUCCUAUCUCUAUCAGACAUCUCCUUUGAAACCUAUUACCUGAGUUUGUGCUUGUGUUUGAGGUUGUGUUUUUAUUAUUUUGU